CCCCUGUGGACAGCUGUGCUAUUUGCCUGCUUUGUUUUUUUCUCUCUCUUACCUCUUAUUUCCCUGUUCUCUCCACCAAUGCAUUCAGAUCCCCGGGAUGGAGUGCGCUGAUACUGCUGCGUUCUUCCUGCACCAACUGUCCGGGCGGCUCAGCAUGUUCUACAGAACAGCAUGCCUUUGGGAAUGCUUGGAGUAUGUAGCCUGACAGCAAGAGAACACUGCGCUCUUCUGGCUAUUUCUCAACAUGUCAGAGGGACAGGAGUGUGCUCAGCCUUGUGUGGUUGCACGUAUGCAAAAAUCCCUAUCGCAGCUGUAAACAUCUUUGUUGUUCUGCUUUACAGCAGUAGUGUGUGACGAGAAGCCUACCACUAUCAAUUUAGAGGAGUGCACGGAAGCUUUUGGGCAUGAUUUAUCCUCACUAUACCUCACACUGGGUGGGAAAAGUUGGCACUGGAUCUCACAUAGCAGCUUGUAACAAAGCUCUUGCGCAAUAAAGAAGCAUUUCAACCGCUGCUUCUUGCAGCAGUACAGUGUUUCCAAAGAGAGAAAAACACCACUACUGGCAUAAACUGGAUUUCUGCUGUUGGUUGAGCAUGUGCAGUGGAAUUGCCAGGUCACAGCCUGAGCCAGUACGUGAGCACAUGAGUGCCUGGAGCUGGGGGAGCCUAGAUCCACCCUUCCUCUUUCUCCGUCCCAGCAGUGCUUCUGGGAGCGCGUACGCAGUCAGUCCGCAGGGGUCUCCUCAGCCCCCCCCCACGCCCCCCCAGGCCCGUCCCCCCCUUCUUCCAGCGAUCCAGAUUUCAAAGCGGAGAAGGCUGUGUUCCUCAGCUCACCCCUUUCUUCCAAACUCUCGCUCGGAGGGGUGAGUUGAUUGCUCUUUCUUUGAUAGCUUGUCCUAUAGUGCCUAGAUCUCAAAGAAAGGCUCUGUCAUUGCCCUUGUUUGCUUUACAGCAUGUCAGAGGUCGGUCAUUGCUAGGAAAGCUUGUGCUUUAAAGCACCAGGUUGUAUAGAGAAGGUAAUUCUAAAAGCGAGCUUGCCAGUUCUUUUUUACCUAAGUGGUUUUUGAGCAAGGAAAGAUUGGAGAUGCUGUUUGCUCAUGGAAGAUGGAGAGGAGGAGAAGCAAGUAAGACGCAUGCUGUGCAUAGCCACUGCAUGCCACCUGCACCAUUUCCCCCCUGAACAAAGGAGGAGCAGCUCAGCGAGCGUGGCCUGGGCCAUCGAAGGGAACAUCCAAACAUCUGGACCAACACCAAAUGGCUUAAUUCCGUAUGUUCGUUGUUUCUCUGUUGUUUGUCUCACAUCCUUCUGGAAAGAAAGCAGGAGGAGACAGACCUCCGAUUUGAUCCUGUUGUGUGUGAUGAUUACGGCCAAGGGGCAGAAGUUGGUGCUUAGGCAGGGGUAAAGCUAGGAAAGCUAAGCCUCGUCGAGGAACGAGAGAUUAAAGUAGAGCUCAUUCUACAUGGCUGUUCAGCACGUUGAAGGUAUUUAUCGUGCAGCAGGAUCUGUCUGGCUGCAGGAACAUGGUCGGAUACGUUGAUUCCAGUAGAAACUCAGUAAGCAGCGGCGGUGUGUGCAAAGUGCUGAUUGUAAUGGACUUCUGCCGAGGUGAGUGGGGGCUCAGCGUGUUGCUCAGUGGUAGGUUUGGUCAUUUUCAGUGCUGACAGGAAACGUGCAUGCAAGGAGUGACCAGAAGGGUUGGAGCCAGGGUCCGCCCCUUCUGAGACCCCCUUGAAGGGCUGGCAGUGGAGGGGCAAGGGUAUGUCGCUGGAGAUCCCUGCAUACCUGAAACCUGCUGAAGUUAGGCAGCUUCUUUCCUUUCUUUCUCUGCCCACAGCUUUUGCAUGUGAGCAAAUCCUCACUUGCUGCAGCCUAGGACCUUGCUGUCAUUGCUGCGCUUUCCAUCACGUUGCAGUACCCAAGCAGGAGGCUUACUUCUCUCCUCCUGCACGGGCACAACCACUUCAAAGCAUCUCUUAAGAGAGAGAUUACUUUGUUCAACCAGUACUGGCAGCAAAGUUAUCACUUGCGAUCACUGAGCCAUUUCAGCACAUUUUUUUAAUAGGUAAAAAGUAUCAAGGGAAGAUUUCUGCCUUUACCUGGACGAACCUGUCCACCGUGUUCUGGGUCAGGCCUUCUGACUUCUUCUUGGCUUUGCU